rnacentral:rRNA from 1 species
UACGUAGGGUGCGAGCGUUAAUCGGAAUUACUGGGCGUAAAGCGUGCGCAGGCGGUUUUGUAAGCCAGAUGUGAAAUCCCCGGGCUUAACCUGGGAAUGGCAUUUGGGACUGCAAGGCUGGAGUGUGGCAGAGGAGACUGGAAUUCCCGGUGUAGCAGUGAGAUGCGUAGAUAUCGGGAGGAAUACCGAUGGCGAAGGCAGGUCUCUGGGCUGACACUGACGCUCAUGCACGAAAGCGUGGGGAGCAAACAGG